CUCCAAUAGCGUAUAUUAAAGUUGUUGCAGUUAAAAAGCUCGUAGUUGAACUUCAGACCUGGCUGGGCGGUCCGCUUAACGGCGUGUACUGUCUGGCUGGGCCUUACCUCUUGGUGAGCCGGCGUGCCCUUUAUUGGUGUGCGUUGGGGAACCAGGACUUUUACCUUGAGAAAAUUAGAGUGUUCAAAGCAGGCCUGUGCCUGAAUACAUUAGCAUGGAAUAAUAAAAUAGGACGUGCGGUUCUAUUUUGUUGGUUUCUAGAGUCGCCGUAAUGAUUAAUAGGGAUAGUUGGGGGCAUUGGUAUUGAGUCGCUAGAGGUGAAAUUCUUGGAUUGACUCAAGACCAACUACUGCGAAAGCAUUUGCCAAGGAUGUUUUCAUUAAUCAAGAACGAAGGUUAGGGGAUCGAAAACGAUCAGAUACCGUUGUAGUCUUAACAG
rnacentral:rRNA from 1 species